UACGAAGGGUGCAAGCGUUACUCGGAAUUACUGGGCGUAAAGCGUGCGUAGGUGGUUUGUUAAGUCUGAUGUGAAAGCCCUGGGCUCAACCUGGGAAUUGCAUUGGAUACUGGCAGGCUAGAGUGCGGUAGAGGGUAGUGGAAUUCCCGGUGUAGCAGUGAAAUGCGUAGAGAGUCCGGAGGAACACCAAAGGCGAAGGCAGUGUCCUGGGGAGUACCUGACGCUCAGGUGCGAAAGCCAGGGGAGCGAACGGG
rnacentral:rRNA from 1 species